CAGUUAAAAAGCUCGUAGUUGGAUUUCUGUUAAUUACUUUAUAUAAUCUGCACUUUAUUGUGUAAUUAUAUAGUAUUAACAUAAUUCAUAUUACUAUAUUUUUUGUAGUAUAUGAAAUUUUACUUUGAGAAAAUUAGAGUGCUUAAAGCAGGCUUUUGCCUUGAAUACUUCAGCAUGGAAUAAUAAUUAAAGAUUUUUAUCUUUCUUUUAUUGGUUCUAAGAUAAAAAUAAUGAUUAAUAGGGACAGUUGGGGGCAUUUGUAUUUAACAGUUAGAGGUGAAAUUCUUAGAUUUGUUAAAGACAAACUAGUGCGAAAGCAUUUGCCAAGGAUGUUUUCAUUAAUCAAGAACGAAAGUUAGGGGAUCGAAGACGAUCAGAUACCGUCGUAGUCU
rnacentral:rRNA from 1 species